rnacentral:rRNA from 1 species
UACGUAGGGUGCGAGCGUUGUCCGGAAUUAUUGGGCGUAAAGAGCUCGUAGGUGGUUUGUCGCGUCUGCUGUGAAAACUCAGGGCUUAACCCUGAGCUUGCAGUGGGUACGGGCAGACUAGAGUGCGGUAGGGGAGACUGGAAUUCCUGGUGUAGCGGUGAAAUGCGCAGAUAUCAGGAGGAACACCGGUGGCGAAGGCGGGUCUCUGGGCCGUAACUGACGCUGGAGGAGCGGAAAGCGUGGGGAGCAAACAGG